rnacentral:lncRNA from 1 species
UUUCUCGUCAGCACUCGGCAGAAACUUUUCUCCUGAGGUGCCUAUUCUUAGGGUAGUGCAUCUUCAGUCUUGUCUAGGAAAUGUUCUCCCGACAGCUUCCGGUGUCGACAUUUACAUGGUGCUCUUUGGGACAAGAGAACUUGACCCAAUCGGCAAAUUGGCAUGGGUUAGGUCCCCAACUUCCUGAAGAGGAUAAUGGCUGAGGAGGGCUUGUCUAUUAAGUAAUGAUAAAUUCAACCCGACUUCUUGGAUUCCCCCUCUCUUUUCACACCGAGCACGGUCGUCCUUCCCGUCUUCUACAUACUUGGCCUAGCUUCUGGAAAUGAUGGAUAUCUCUCUUGAUCCUCCCGGUCCGAUUUGACACCAUUCGGAACGCCAGAAGUCCGCCGGUCGUGUUGGAGAGCCGCCACCCUCUCUCCCACAGGACGAGAGUCCUCCUUUGCCAGUGACACGGUUGAAGAACGCCUCUGCGUGACGCUCGGCCUUGACUUCACCGAGCACUCAAAGCAAUGAAUGCACCCAGUUCGUUCCAAUGUUAUUUCAGCACGCGAAUUUGCGCGCAUGCCACAGGUACAUAGGAGAAUUCAUUACCGAGACUGAAAGGGGAACAUAAAUUCAAGAAUAUCACCAAAAAAUUCAUGAAUUUUUUUUGUCAAUUGAAUCCUAAAAUUUUUACGCUAAUAUGGAUGUUAGCCGUCCAAUGCAUGUUGAUAUUGACAAUUUUUUAAUAAUUUUUUUAUUCUUAAAUUUUUAUUAAUUCCUAUUGUUUUUCUUUUUCCUUUUUUGAUUUCCUUUUUUUCCUCCUCCUUUUUCCUUUGGCCGGCAGGAGGAAACAAAAAAAGAGAAAGAAAGAGACAAAGAAAAAUUAUAAAAUAUUAAAUAUUAAAAAAUUUAAAAAAAUAAAAAAUUAUUAAAAAGUUGUCUAUUGCCCAUCAGACAGUCGAGAAAACUGACUCAAUUCGGGAUUAAUGCAAAAAUUUUAGCAUUAAAUUGAUAAAAAAAAAUAAGAGUAAAUUUACAUAAUUGUAAUAGAUUUAGGAUUUUUUGAUAAUUUUUUUCCAUUAAUUCACAAGAAUUUUCCGCAAAUGGAACUAGCACUGUCCACCACGUCAUCCAUGAUCGGCUAUGAAGAAAAUUCGUUUUGGAACGCAGAGAUUUCUUUUCGCUUAAAUCCGCUCUUCCUCCGUUGACUGAGACUUGGCAAAGGCAGCAGACUAUUCUAAACGGUCAUCAUCCUCCACUGCCAAGAUUGUUUGGUAAGAUCAUAAAAAAAAAGUAAAAACUAACUUAUUUUUUAAUUUUUUGCCCAAAUCUAAAAUAUUUAUCCGAAUAGUUAAAAACUAUACAAAUAUCAUAUCUGAAUCCAUGCAUCAACGUUUAUAUAUUGUGAAAAUUUGAAAUAUUUAAGAUAAAAAAGAAUCAAAAUACAACAUUGAAUAAAAAGUUAAAAAAUAUAUAUGAAAAAAAUUAAUUAUUAGUAAAAUAAAUAGAGAUCGCUAAAUAUACUCUUAAGUGUUAGUGACCCUGAAUAACCGUUAGUGGAAUAGGAAAAAAAAUCAGCUGGUUAACUAUUAGUAAAUUAUAUAACUUUUUUCGAGUUGAAUAGUUUAUUGAUCUUUAUUUUUAUUUUUAUUUUGGUCGGGUAUUGACCUUCUUUUGAAAGCUUGUAAAUUACCAAUUUUUCCAAUAACUUCUACCAUUUUUUAGUAGCUUAUCCACGUGGUUUGAUGCAUGCUAUAGCCAGUGCUCUGAAAUUAUUGACUCUUAUGUCAAUUAACCAACCACGAUUUGAGUGACGUAAUAUCUAUCCGAUUAAGAGGGGCGUUGCAUUUCCACCAUUCCUGACAAAUUAUUUCAGAACUUAAAAAUGUACAGCUAGUAUUUACACGUACAGGCAAGAAGAAUUUCUCUGUACAAUUGGGCAUCUGAACUUUCCGGACUCUUAGUCAUGGCUGAACAUGUCCCUUGGCAGCAGCGAGCUGUUUCUUGAGGUUGAGGACCUCAGUGCCGUAUGAUGCCAAACGAUCCUUGAGCUUUCCUGAAGCCUCCUCGUACUUUCUAUUCAUCAGGUCUUGUUCAUUUAGUGCUUCGGUGCAUCGAUAUCUCAUGGCGUCCAACUUUGCCUGUGUCCACCGUAGUCUCAUCCUCAACUUCGCUUUUUCCUUGCCAUUGUUGACUUCUUGCUGUUUGUGAAUCAG